GCCUGUCUCUUUUCUUACUCUGACACAAAGUACGCAAUGGAAAUAGAAGAAUCUUGACCUUGCAAAUGCAAAGAAUUCAGGAGUGGUUUGCAUUCAUUGUUACCAGAUUACCCAUGGUCUUUCUCAAGAAAUCUAAUUAGACUUCAAAGAUCUUCCCACUGAUGUAGAUGAACUCUAUAAUUGCAACAGCAGGAAUUACAUCAGAACCUUGGGAGAGGAGAAAUAUAAAUACUUCAAGGAAAAAAAAUGCAAGAAAAAAGCUAUUAGGAUAAUACUGACAAUGAGCCAAAACGUGCCCUCAUCUAUGUAUAUGCUACUCCCAUUGAAGCUAAGGGGAUUUGUAGAUGCCUCAGAGAUGGUAUGUUGCUUUAUAUGGCAAAACACUUCCAUGGACAGAUGGGAAAUAUGCAUUCACAAAUCAAUGUAUGCUAUAAAUUUAACUGUAUUGAAUUUCCUUAUAUAGCUGCUUCUUUGACGAAGAAGAUCUGUCUGCUUUGUAAAGGAGUUUGGAAAUGGCAGCUUUUCAUUCCCAGCAGAUUCUUAGUAAAUGAUUGCUACCAGUGUCAUUUAUCACUUGCAUACAGCAGGCCUCUUGAGGUCAAUGCAGGUAGUAAGGAAAUAAAGACAAUGUAUUUUUGAGGAAUGGCCAGGAUCCAUACUUACCACAGACUCACAGACCUAUUCAGGUUGGAAGGGAUCUUGCAAGGGAUCAAGUCCAAACUCUUGCUCAAAGGAGGAUCAACACUUUAUUGCAUUGGAUUGCUCAGAACAUUGUCCAUGUGGAUUUUGAGCACCCUGAAGGAGAUGGGCACUAGAGCCUUUCUGAGCAACCUUUUCCAAGGCUUAAUCACCAUCAGAGUGAGUAUUUUUCCUUAUAUGUAGCUUCAACUUCUUAUUUCAAUUUAUGUCCAUGGUCUUACCAUGCACCAUUGAGAAAAGCCUGAAUGCCUCCUUGAUAACCUCCCCAUAGGCUCUGGUAGACUAUUUUUCAGCCCCCUGAAGCCUCUCCUUCUCUGAUGGAGUCCAGUUCCUUCAGCCACUCCUUGAUAAGCAAGAAGACCCAACCAUCUUGGUGGCUCUUCACUGAACUUGCUCCAUGUUAUCAGUCUUCAUUGACUUGAGGCCCCCAAAUUGGAUGCACUAUCUAGAUUUCAUCUAAUGACUGUCAGUACAGACAAUGGCCUCCAUCUUUUUACUAACUACACUUGUGUUAGUACAGCCCAGGAUGCACUGGCUCACAGCUGACUCACUUCCAUCUUGUAUCCAGCAGGAAUCCAGAGUCCCUUUCCAGCAGAGCUGCUGUCCAGCCAGGCAGACCCCAGCCUGGAUCAGAGCAAGGGGUCAGCUGGCCCCAGGUGCAGGACUUGGCAUGCUUCCUUACUGAAAUUCCUGUCGGCCCAUUCCUCCACCCUGUCAAGAUGUCCACCUUAAUCCAAAUAUUCACCCCAUGUGGAAAAACCUUAGAGAUUCAUGCUGUGGAAAAUAUCUUAAUAGAUUACUGUCUUACUUUCACAGCUAUCCCAAUAGUCUUGUCAUGUUUUUAAAUUUUCCAUUUUGUGGGAUUCAGCAAAUGUAGGAGUACAUUUAGGUCUCUGCUGUGCCAAAAGGAAUCUUUGCCAAAAUUUUUAAGUUCAGAACUUUAGACUCUGAACAAAGCCUAGGGGUACAAUCAUGAUUUCCCAUCCCAGAAGACCAUCUUUAAGGUAAUAGUUGCUAUAGCAGAAGACAUUAUAAUCUUUGUCAUAACUGUUUUCAGAGGCACCCUUAUUUCUGUCUCAUUUUAGUUUUGUUUUAGUUAUAAUCCUUUCCUUUGUCAUAGUGCUGCCUAAUUAAGAAUUCAGCUUGUAAUUCUGGGCACCUACCAAAUGACCUGGUUAUCAGAUGGUAUCACUGGCAGUAGGACAGUCCAGGGACUACAGAGAGAAGGCAGAAAAUCUAAAAUGAAGUAGUAGCUUCACUAGGAGCUGAAAAUACAGAUCUAUUAAAAAAUAUAUAAAUGUUAUGGUCCGUUCAGUCAUAAAUUUUAUUGUCUUAUUAAAUAAAUAUUUGAUUCUACAUCCUUCACAUAACUGUAGAUUACAGGACUAAUUCAAUAUCCCCUUUACAAAAUCUUUCCUUUUCUAAAACCCUCUGUAUAAAGCCAAGACACUAAUAAGCUAAUCAAGUAGACAAACAAGAGCAUUCAAGGACAGCGACCCAUCUGGGAAUAAUUUGAGGUGAGAUGUGUGGGAGGAGGCCACCCAGCCACAGGUAUAAAGCCAGAGGCUGGGGACAAGAUGCCUUGUUCCUUUAGGGCUGGUUCUAGCAUGGAGUAAAUAGGAGUCUGGAAAUAAAAAACUUGACAAGAUCUUUUGUUUCUUUGUUCUAGUAGAGAGAUAGGAGUGGAAAAGAUUGGUAACUGUGUUUUUAUGCCUUUUGUUUUGUGCGUGCACUUAAAGAUGCUAAUGGAAGAGAACUGGCAGAAGGGCCUGUUUUAGAAGUUGCUCUUGCAGCUAUUCAGAAAGAUGAAAGGAAGAAAAAACUCUAUAAGGGUUUUUUUUUUUUUUUUUUUUUUUUUUUUUUUUUUUUUUUUUUUUUUUUUCAUGGGGAGAGAGAGAGAGAGAGAGAGAGAGAGUUAUCAGUGUUUCCCUUGUGGAGGAACUACAAUCUGAGUGUAUGGCUGUCAAGGUAGGACAGCUGACCUAGAGGAAAGUGAGCUAAUAGAGAUGCUUGUUGAGGGCACCUUACAUAGCUGAACCAUUCAGUCUGUGUAAAAGCAACCAGCUUGUGUGCAGAGCAAACUGACACAGAAGAUAACCAGGAAUAUAAUGCUAACGAGUGAAAGGAAAAGUGACUGCAGCAACAGAUUUCUCUCAGCAAAAUUGUGUUCUCCCCUAAUGAGGGUUUUGUUCUGCGAGUGGAAAGCUAUUCAAGAACUGAUGAGAGGAAAGGUAUCUUUCCUUAUAAUCUUAUGCUUAUCCAGCAUGACAAACAAAACUUGCCUUUCUUGGUGCAAAUCUGAUAAACCUCAGAAGCAGUGGAUAGCAUGUAACUAUUCAAGUAAGCAUCAAUUACAUAGAGAAGAGGGGGAUGUAGGAAGUUCUGGAGGCAAAAACUUUUUUUUGCUCUGAAGGAAAGCUGUAGACCAGGGCUCUAGAGGGAAUUUUCUCUGAACCACGCACUGCAUCCCUUGCAAGACUGGAGAGCAAAGUAGAAAGGUAGAGUUGCAGUGGUAGGAGGAUGUUAUCUGGUGACUUGAUUCACUAGAACAGAGGUACUCACAAACUAAGCAGAAGCUGCAAAGAAAAGCAAUUGCUGCAAGAGGCAUCUCAGAAGGAUUCAAAUCUCAAGAAAAACUCUCUUUUUAUGGCCUCUAAUUAGAAAGAUUUCAGGUUUGCUUAACCUCAGGAAUAGCUACACUACUGUAACUUCACUAUAAAUUUUAAAUCUGGUGAAACUGCAAUAAUACAGGUGUUGCAAACAUACCAAAAUUAUAUCUUUGCCAGAGCUUGCUCAAGAAAAACAGCUUCCUUAUCUCAGUAGUUCAAAAGGACAUUGCAGGCUUCACUUUGUUGGCAAGCACCUGCAUUGGCCUAGAGAAGCAGAAGUAACUGGGCCAUAACCAAGGAAGGAGUAAAAUCUGUCAAGAUAAAAGCACAUGAAUUCCAUCUGAACUAGGUCACCAAAUGUAUCAAAUAGUGUAAAUGAUAGCAAUUACACUCAGUAACACAUUUUCCUUCAAGAUAUUGAGUUACGUUGACAGUCAUUUGAUAAGCUUUUUUUUUCCUUUCAUGAAAUAACAAUGUUUGAGUACGUUUUUCAUUAACGCACUUGAAGAAAUGCCAGUUAACUAGGUGAGCAAAAUUCCUGGAUAGUGCAGUGACUAUUACAUUGCAUGCUUUAGAAGUUGCUUUCAGGUAGUUCAAAUACCAGCUAAUUUUCAGUGAGUGAAAAGAGUAUAAACAGAAAAUGUAAGAAUACAACAGUUGCUUGGAUGUCAAACAGGAGCUUGAGGACUUGAUACUCAAGGAUGCUCUGCAUGUUCACUUCUAACACAUUCUUCAACUGGACCACAAGGAUCCAGCAAUUUCAUGGCAUCAAACUUCAGAUAAAAGUCUUGAAACAACUUUUUCUUGGGGGGUGAGGACGGAGCAGGAAAGGCUGUCUGGAAACUUCACUUUAAGCAGCAUGAAACAUUCCCAGUUUCUCAUAUGAUAAUUUUCCUUCUGAGACUUUCACUUUUUUUUUUGUUUGAAAAUUCAUCAGACACGUUAUCUUUUCUUUCUCUUUUUUUGAUUCUUUUCUUGUUUGAAACCAAGAUACCAGACUCACAGUAAUGAAGAAUAAACCAGCUAUGGAAAUAUUUUUUUUCUUAUUUAUAAAAUCAUGACUAUGACCCAAGAAUCCACAGUGCAGGGUGCUGUGUUUGUCUUCCAUGAUUUAGGUGUAAUGUGUGGGACAGCAGCUGAAAAAGAUAAACAGGAAAGUGCAAAGGUUCAAGGAGAUGAAUACUGGGGAACACUUCAAGUCAUGAUUUCAACGUGAUAGCAGCAUAGCCACCAAGAGAACCCUGGGUAAGUACAGGAAAUCUUAAGGGAAGGUCCUGCUAUGCAUGAGAAUGUAUGGGAGGAAUCCCAUUUUAAAAAUACGUUUGUGAGACUGUAUCUGGAUCUACAGUACAUACUAGUAUGUACAUCUAUAUUGUCUGAUCUAACAGGUUAUACAGAGAUGGGUUUCUUGAUACUGAAGAAAAGUUACUUUGGAUGGAAUAUGCAGAUAUAAAGAAAUACAUGAAAAAAUACAAGUAAUACCAGAAUGAUGGCACUUAAAAUGAGUUGUCUUUGAGUUUUGUGUGUUGUGUAUACCUUGCAGAAGAUGUAAGAGUGCCAGAUUUAAAAGUUAUAGCUAGAGAGAGUUCCUGCAGGUAUUCUAGAACUGGCUAGCUCACCAAGGAACAGGUCUGUCUUCCUAACACUGGAAAGAAGAGGAAUAUGACCACAUCUGACCAAGCUGGGAGGUGCUCUGUUUAGCUCUGCUUUACAGACUUGGACUCACUCCUGUCUGCUUGAAGACAAAAAAAAAGCUCUUCUGAAGAUAAGUGAGCUGUUCACUGAUGAAGCCUUCUGAUUCAGUGCCUCUGAUUUUCAAGGCAAGCAUAAUUUCAGAUGGCACAGUUUUGAGAGAAGUCUGGGAAGGACUUAUUUUUGCUGGCUUUAUUCUUCUUUCUUUUGCACAGGAGCGCAGGCACAAAUGCAGAAUGACUGAAGGAAAGAAGACAACCAAAAGCUAUAGAGAGCACCAGGAUUGACCUGUAGAAGUCUUUAAAAGUCCUGUUUUGUCUAAAGCAGAGUAAAGCAAGUGUUUGUACAAAAAUCCCACAUAAAAUUGUCCAUUUGUUUGUCUCAUUUUCAUGUCAGUUAAAUCACAUACUUUAAGGAUGUGGUGAAAGACUAAUGAAAAAGAAGAGGGUGUGAGGGAGAACAGGAACCGUGAGCAGUUUUGGGAGCACAGGAAUCCCAGUCAGGAACAGGUCCUGGGCUCUCCAGAUUGCUGAGGCAUAAAUAGAGGCUUAGGAGGAAAUGUUGGUGAGGGGCUCAGAAAGGGAACUUGGCAAGCUGCAAAGCUGGAAGAAGUACAUCAUGUGCCCUGAUUUCAAUAAGCAUAAUGUGAUGUCACUUGGCAAUGUUAUGCUUUUUGGUUAAUCAUUUAGUUUUAUCUGCUUGCACGCACAUCAUCUUAUUAAACAGUAACUGUCCUUCAUUAAUCAUUGAGUUCAAGGCCAAGAAAACAGCUAGAGGCCAUAUUAUGCUUGGGCUCAGCAGAUGAUGAAUGAUUUGCAAGAAGGAACAUUGUUUUCUGCCACCCACCACUAUUUCCUUGAAUAAAGGGCCAGGAGAUGAUAAUCUUGGGCCACUAGAACUAAUAAAUCAGACUUGCGGCCUAUGCCUAGGUAAUGUAAAUUCAGAACAGGUGGAAUUUGGAUCUUCCCAGUCAGAAGAUAAGUGUCAAGCCCAUGAACUGCACUGAGGAUACCUGUGCCCCAAACACAGCUCCAGACCAUUCAGGUUUCUGUAAAACUAGAUUUUCUGUUUAAUUCAUAUAAUACAUUUAAACUAUUUGGUUUCAAGCCCAGGGUAGCAGGAGUGUGUUUCCAAAGUUCUUCUCUUUGUUGUAGACCUAGAAGGAGAACAAACCAACCAUUUUUCAGAUUAACUUCUCUCUAGUUAAAAUCAGCCUGUUAACAAAGCUUUUAUUUGUUAUUCUAACAACUGCCUUCUGGCUGUCAUCGCACAUAUUCAGAUCUUUGCUCAAACCACUGUGCUGAGCAGAUAACUUACAUGCAGCAGCCCCUAAUGCUGAACUUUUGUCCCCUCCAUCCUCUCUGUUUAUCAGGUCAAAUUCUGCACCCACCACAGUUGGAAUCAUGCAGGGAGAGAAAUUCUGUAAUAGUGUGCACCUACAUGACUGGUGUCAAAAAAGUGGCUGAAAGAAGGAUCUCUUUCCUCCUCCGGCUUUAGAGGCUGUAACUUAGGUUUCAUUCCUCUUUGGAGAGCUUGAGCAGCAAGCCUUUUUCUGGUCAAUGGUAUCUGCAACAAAAUAGCAGUUGCAUUACAUUACAGUCAAAUUAGAGCACCAUUGCUCUACUUCACGGGCACAAAUGGAAACUGGCUAAAUAUGAUGCUGCCAUUGUCAAAACCCUACAGCUACCCGGACAUUUUAACGUAUAUAGGCAUGUUUUCAGGAUUUCAGGACACAGGAAGGAUGGGAGCCUUCAUACAUUACCAUACUUACCAUCAUUCCACAACAUAGAGGGUAGGCACAGGCUUGGUGCCAGCCUGUCAGAGAUUUAGGGUUAGUGUUAGCACUGACUUUGAGAUUGUACAUCAAGUGGCAAAAAGCAGCCCUGUGUCUGUAGCUCAAGAUGCUUGAACUGUGUGUCUGAUCCAGGAUGUUUACUCAGAGGUGCUGACAACAUUAACAUUUCCUCCAUAAAGAGCUGUUGUGGAAAAUGUAUUUUUCUCUGUGGGAGAGAGGUUGCAAGUGCCUGCUCUGUGUGUUGGUGAAUGCUUAUGUAUCUCCUGCCUCUGCAAAAGGAAAUUCCUCUGCCUCUGUCUCAUCGGGCUUAUAUUGGGUUUACCUCCCUUGCUUUGUCAGAAAAAGCAACAAAGAUGCUCACACUGCCAUUGUGAUUAUUUUUCUCUUUCUAGGUUUGCUGUACAUCUUUUCCCAGAUUUUUUUGCUACUGUACUUUUCUAGUGCACUGUGAAGGCUUGGACAGUACAUGGCUUAAUGACUGGGUCUAUAUCAGUCAUCAUUUGAUUCUACCUCUUUCCUACCCCCAGAGAAAAACCUGGAUCUUCCUAGGAACAUGAAUCUUCCUUCAUGUGAGAGAAGUCCAUCAGUUUAUCAGUGAUUUCUUUGAGAAAUGUGGUGGUGUUGCGCAGAGCAUGCGCUGUUACCAACUCUGCAGGAGAAGAGAGGUGUCCCGAUCUACUGAUGUGUUUUCACCAGACCUCAUAAAGCAACGUGAGUCUGCAGCGAGGGGCAUAGACUACACAUCUGCAAGAAACUGACCCAUAUGUAGGACAGGAGCUCCUCUGUUACCAAAGCAGAACAAAGCAGGAUACAGUAACUAUCUAUUAAUAGAUAGAUUAUAUUUCUGUAGGAAGUAUUUUCUUGUCCCCAUCCUGAACGUGUGUUUAUCUGUUUGGCUACAUCUGAAAAACAGGGUAUUCUUUUUAUUUAGCCUAAAUUCUCCUGACAUGGUAUUGUACCAUUUGAAAGGCAAUAUAAUCACAUCCUCUUUGUGGACGUAUUUGCACACCUUGAUGAAAACAUGUUACUUCUCAAAAAAGAAGGGAGUCUCUCUUCCUUAACUUACCACAGAUAUCCUAGGCAUUAAAAAUAUGAAAAUUCCAUACAGAUUAAAUAUUGAUUUUAUUUUUUUAGAGAGCAAGUACAAUGAUGUUGCAUUAAAAUAAUGCUAUGUCAUAGUUGUUACAGCUCUGAUAGAAAAAUAAACAUCUCAAUAUACUACAGUGUCAACUCAUUAAUAAAUAUCAAAAUAGAAGUUAGUAGUCAACUGAAAUUAAUAAACAGCUAUAAAAGUAUACUAUUUUAAAUAAUAAAAUAUUCAGUAUAUUUCCAGACAAAUAAAAGUAGUGAUUUAAAAGUAUCAUUUAAAAUGGAAGAUGGACAGUAAGAAGUUACAGAUAUAAUUAAACCGUCUUCCCUUACUAACAUUCUCUAUGCAUAAAAUCUAGAGAAACAUUAUUCAUCUGUAUAUAAUUUUUUACAAAAGGUAGUAUAUGUUAAAUAGAAAGUUAAAAACUGUAGUAUUAUUAAUAGUUGUCACAUCAUUGCUAAAUAAGACACUUCGAAGCAGUA